rnacentral:lncRNA from 1 species
GGCGCGGACGCUUGUGCCGGAAGUAAACUUGUUAACGGUUCUUUGCCUUUUGGGGAGGGGAGACAGCCCAGAGAAGGCUUUGGAGACCCUUGAGUCGGCCAGCGAGCAGGGUUUCUUACUUGAGCGCCUCCACAAAUAAACGCUCCUUCGCUCCUCCGUCGCGUGCGUUUCCCUGGGAUAAUAAGUGGGAAAGUGGUGGCUUUUAUUUUUUUGAGACAGGGUCUCACCGCCGUCGCCCAGGCCGGAUGGAGUGCAGUGGCGCGAUCACGGCUCACUGCAGCCUCGACUUCCCAGGCUCAGAGAUGGGUUUCACCAUGUUUCCCAGCCUUGUCUCAAACUCCUGACCUCAAGUGAUCCGCCGUCUUGGGUCUUCGAAAGUGCUGGGACAGCAGGAGUGAGCCACCGCAUCUGGCCCGGAAAGUGUUUUGGAGCGUAGAAAAAUGCAAAUUAUAGGGCUGCCUUCAAGGAUCCCGAAGGACCCACAGAUUUGCCGCAUCAGGCUCCUAUGCACGCCGGUAAUUUGAUGUGUUGAGAUGCACUGCCCAGUGCGUUGUUUUUACUGGAGGAGCUUGUGUGCGGAGCUCCUUGCUAGUGUAUGUGUUGGGAUGGGAGAGAAGUGCGGGAGAACUAUGAGAUAAUGCCCCCUGAUCCUCAGGGUCUUAGGAGGUAUGGUCGGAGAGGCUAAGCUAAAGUAUGAAAGCCGUGUGUAGGCCCUUCUGUGUAGUGCAGAAAAGGUAGAGGUAUGUGAUUUGAAAGAGUAGGGAUGACAUGGAGGAUGCGACUCCUGGUUGGAUCUAUAAACUAAUGUCUUUGGAACGAAAGCACAUGCAACCUUUUGAAAAUGGAUGGGUGAUAAUGAAAGACCAUUCCAGAGAAGAAACACCAUGGUGCAAAGGCUCAAGAGGCAUACUGGAAGUACAAUGAAGAGAGCAAUCUAACUGAAAUGGGAAAAAAAGAAACAAAGAGUAAAAAGUAAGAUUUGAUGAGAAAGAUGGAA